rnacentral:lncRNA from 1 species
UAUGUUGGAUAUGGUCACAAUAAAACUAGCUAGGUAGAAAGCUCAGAGUAAUUAAUUGGCCCUAAGGCAAGCUGGUUGUAUUUGUAGGCAAACCUAGAAUUUUAUUUUUCUCAAGAGAAAGUUUUCUUUCUACUGUUAUGUUUUGGUUUUUGUUUUUGUUUGAUCAUUUAUCCAGCCUACUCUGUGCCAACUACCUCUGGUUUAUGACUCCCCUGUGUUAAUUUCUUGUCUGUGAAUUGCCGAUUCUUUGAAGUAAAACAUUGGGCUAGAUCUGUUUCGGAGUGAAUGAGAAUGCAGGACCGCUGACAAAAGAAAUCCAUCAUAAGAAUCACUGCAGAAAAUGUCUACAACUUCUCCUCCUCUGGAUGUGAGUGAACUACAACAUUCAGCUUUACAAAUAUGCACCCCCAUCUCAACUGGGUACCUCUGUCCAAAUAUGAGAUAAUACACUGAGCGACAGUUUUCCUCAUGUACUGUCUGAACACAUAAGUGGCAUCGAAGAUCAGAUUGGCUGAAAUCCUCUAUGAAAUGAAGUCUUCUCUCAUGUUUGGAUCGCAUAUAUGUUUAGUGACCCAGCGGCUGCUGUAAGGGCCCGACCGAACCUAGGACAGACCUUCAAAGAUACAGCUAUUCAUUCCAAAAAAUCCAGUAGGCUACUGUGAAAGUUUUAUUUGGUUUAUUUCAAUAGAUCCAGUACCCCUUACAAUGGUGUAUGGUGAUUAUCAAUCGAUUAAGGUACCAGUGGAUUCCUAGGCUUGGUGCUUACCAGGAGCAAAAACUUAAAGAACAAAUUUGCUUUCCCAAGUUUCUGCAUUCUGUGUACAAGGACAGCCUUAAUUUUAGACUGAGCCUUUACUGUUGCUGGCCAUACUAGGCAAA